GUGCUGGAUUGAGGUGAGUUACUAAAGAUCAGUCAAGUCAACAAGAGCCGCACAAAUCUGAUGUUCCUGCAGGUUAUUGGGUGAAGUGUGGAGCUGAUGAGUUUUGAUUUCUGUUUUCUGUAGAGUUUCCAGUCUCUCUCAGUACCUCCUGAAUCUACAGACGUAAAUGACGAUCCCUUCAGUUCUCUCGUCUCUUCUGAUGACCUGAGAUAAUCUGUUCAUCAGCUGAGAGACAAACUGGAGGAUUUCUGCGAAAAAGAGGAGCUCAAGACGAUCUCAGACAGAGUCACAUUCACCAGGAUCAGGAACGACUUCCUACAAUAUUCCCAUCAACUCACUCUGGAUCUGAACACAGUGAAUAAACGCCUCCAUCUGUCUGAGAACAACAGAGUGAUUACAACAACAGAAUGAUUACUGCCACUAGAAGAUUACAGCCAUAUCCU